GAACCAGUAAGGGGAAACAACUCCUUACUAUAAUGCAACCGCCAUGUUUAUGCGGGGAAGACCGAGUUUUGUGUUUACAAAAAGGUUGAUUUAGCGGAUCGUAUAUAUCAGAAUGACACAUGCUGAUCUGAUUGCAGAGGUAUGUGGAAUGGAAAGAAAGAGAUACAUGUACAUACAGAGACUGUUUGAAUUUAAGGUGUAAAAAUGAGCUACAUGUACCAGAAAAGAUAUUGAAAAUUUAAAAACUGUUUUAACAAGAGCAUCAUAAAAUAUAAAAAAAAAAAGAACAAUACCAGGUCUGGACCUUUGUGACUGCAUGCAAUUAAUUCUAAAAUACCAGGAAACAAGAUGUAGCUGCACAGCAGACAUGGCAGAUCUUAAAAUUGCUAAUUGGCAUCAACUCAACAUUUUCAAGCUGCAUUUAAAAGGAAAAGCAUUCCUUUUCAUAGAAUCCAAGAUUUUUUUAACCAAGUCAAGUGGUUAUUAGACCUGUUAUCAUGAAAAUACUAACAUAUAUAUUAGUAUUAACAGUCACAUGUAAUAUCCCAAAUAUAAGAACUAUUUGGUAUGUGUGACUAUCUUUCUUCCCAUGUCAUGUUACAUGUAUGCUCAGAAUAUUUUAAUGUCUCAAGGAUAUGAAAUGGAUAAAUGAUAUAUUGUCAACCAUUUAGAUAAAACAGACAGGCUCACAUAUAAAUUAACUGUCUAUGUGAAAGUUCAAGUUGACUAAAAUUGUCUAGAAUUAAAAAAAACAUAUAUCCAAAAGUACAGAAUUGCCUUUCUCAGAAAUUUUGUAUGUUUAAUAGAAUGAUACUUGUAGCUUCUA